GCUGGCGGCAUGCCUUACACAUGCAAGUCGAACGGUAACAGGUCUUCGGAUGCUGACNAGUGGCGAACGGGUGAGUAAUACAUCGGAACGUGCCCGAUCGUGGGGGAUAACGGAGCGAAAGCUUUGCUAAUACCGCAUACGAUCUACGGAUGAAAGCAGGGGACCGCAAGGUCUUGCGCGGACGGAGCGGCCGAUGGCAGAUUAGGUAGUUGGUGGGAUAAAAGCUUACCAAGCCGACGAUCUGUAGCUGGUCUGAGAGGACGACCAGCCACACUGGGACUGAGACACGGCCCAGACUCCUACGGGAGGCAGCAGUGGGGAAUUUUGGACAAUGGGCGAAAGCCUGAUCCAGCCAUGCCGCGUGCAGGAUGAAGGCCUUCGGGUUGUAAACUGCUUUUGUACGGAACGAAAAGACUCCUUCUAAUAA
rnacentral:rRNA from 1 species